GACCUGAUGGUGUAGUGGUUAGCACGCUUGUUGACUGUAAAGGGACAGGUAAGUCUAUGCAAGAAACCCCCGUUCGACUCGGGGUCAGAUCU